GGUGCUUAGUUUAAAACAAAGCAAAUGAUUUCGACUCAUUAGAUUAUGAACCACUCAUAAGCACCAAA
rnacentral:tRNA from 1 species